ensembl:misc_RNA 7SK 7SK RNA
UUACGUGAAGGCAAUGUGGCUAUGACAACUGUUACCCCACUGAUCGCCAGACUUUAUUUGGAGGAUCUGGCUGGCUAUACAGUUGUCCCCUUCCUCCCUCAGUGAUCCAUGUGCCUCCCUCCUGAAGCUAAGCACUCGGUUGAAGGGGACGACCUUCCCUGAUAGAGUUGGACCAUUCUUCGGUCAAGGGUAUAUGAGUAGCUGCACACCCAUGCUAGGACUUCCAAAAAAGCUCUCAAGGUCAACUUGUAGGUGAAUGUAGGAUAGUCAAGCUUCCAAGAUUCUAGACACAUCCAAAUGAGUAGCUGCACGUGGCAAUCUGCCUUUCU